UUGUGUGAAUACAUAGCACAUUCGAGGUAGACGCAGAGAACUGAAACAUCUAAGUACCUGCAGGAAGAGAAAGAAAAUUCGAUUCCCUGAGUAGCGGCGAGCGAAACGGGAAAAGCCCAAACCAACAAGCUUGCUUGUUGGGGUUGUAGGACUCCAAUAUGGUCGUUCUUUCAGAUAGUCGAAUGACUUGGAAAAGUCAGUCAAAGAGGGUAAAAACCCCGUAGACGAAAUGUGGAAGACACCUAGGAGGAUCCUGAGUACGGCGGAACACGAGAAAUUCCGUCGGAAUCCGGGAGGACCAUCUCCCAAGGCUAAAUACUCCCUAGUGACCGAUAGUGAACCAGUACCGUGAGGGAAAGGUGAAAAGCACCCCGGAAGGGGAGUGAAAUAGAACCUGAAACCGUGUGCCUACAACAAGUCAAAGCCCGUUAAUGGGUGAUGGCGUGCCUUUUGUAGAAUGAACCGGCGAGUUACGAUUGCAUGCGAGGUUAAGUUGAAGAGACGGAGCCGCAGCGAAAGCGAGUCUGAAUAGGGCGUUUGAGUAUGUAGUCGUAGACCCGAAACCAUGUGAUCUACCCAUGUC
rnacentral:rRNA from 1 species